rnacentral:rRNA from 1 species
UACAGAGGUCUCGAGCGUUGUUCGGAUUCAUUGGGCGUAAAGGGUGCGUAGGUGGCGUGGUAAGUCGGAUGUGAAAUCCCGGGGCUCAACCCCGGAACUGCAUUCGAUACUGCCUUGCUAGAGUACUGGAGAGGAGAUUGGAAUUUACGGUGUAGCAGUGAAAUGCGUAGAUAUCGUAAGGAAGACCAGUGGCGAAGGCGGAUCUCUGGACAGUUACUGACACUGAGGCACGAAGGCCAGGGGAGCAAACGGG